rnacentral:rRNA from 1 species
UAACGUGUGGGCAACUUGCCCUAUACUGGGGAAUAAUCACUGGAAACGGUGACUAAUACCGCAUGUCAUUACGGAAGGGCAUCCUUCUGUAAGAAAAGGAGUAAUUCGGUAUAGGAUGGGCCCGCAUCUGAUUAGCUAGUUGGUGAGAUAACAGCCCACCAAGGCGACGAUCAGUAGCCGACCUGAGAGGGUGAUCGGCCACAUUGGGACUGAGACACGGCCCAA